CCUUUCUCAUGGAAAAAAAGAGUAUAGUUGAAAAAGUAGAGAAAGAGAGGGGAUGGGGAUUGACAUAGAGAUUGAAAUCUUAGGAAGCCUUUGGAAGGACGUGAAAUAGUGCAUGACAUGUUAGAGUAAGUAAACCAAGGCAUCACAGUGCUUGAGACACUGAGGUCUGUCUCUAGGGCUGGUUUAGGUAAGAAAACAAAGACAGGACCUUUCUGUCCUGUUCAAGAGAAGGAGGGCAUUGGUUGUUGGGCCCUGCAUACAAGAUUAACAAAGAGGAGACACAGCUUUCUGCUUCUGCAUGAUGCCCCAUCAGCAUCAGCCAGGCCUUACUCUCAUCCAUUUUACCUAAAAGAGGCUGACAUAAAAGACUGUAACACAUGUGGUAGCUUCUCUGAGAGAUAUUCUUUAACAUAUGAAGCCUUAAUAAUGAGGUCAGCUUGCUGAAAGGGGUGACAAGGUUGAGGGCAGGCAGAGUGGAGUGGAAUUGUGGCUGAGAGGCAGACCUCAAGUGAAAGAAAUAAAAGAAAUCUCUGGAUAAGUGAAUGCUCUUAAUAUCUAAGCUGGUCACAAAGUAACUAAGAACAAAGUUAAGAACUUUAUGUGUCUAACUUUGUGUCUCUUUUCCUCUCCAUUCUGCUAUCACUUCCCUGGAGCCUUUCGUCUCAUCUGUAAGUGAAAGGCAUAGAAAUGGGUAGUCUCCAAGGUCAUUCUCAGCUCUGACAGCCUUGGAUUAACCCUUCCACGUUAAGUUCCUUGGAAACAGAUUCUGGGACAGUUAUUUGUGAACAGAAAGUUUACUGGAAGGAAGCAAAAUUAAGCAGAGGAAGAAACUAAACUGUGAUAUAGUCACAACUAUGGUCUCAGCUAUGAAGCUGUGAUUGCCUUUCAGAUUUGUCCUGAAUUAAGGUAAGGGCCCCAGGCCUUUGUACUUCCUUUCCCCUCAGGUGAGCAGUCAUUGGAGGAGGACUGUUCUUGGGGAGAGGGGAACAUAUAUUUGAAUGAGACAGAACUCUUGGGCAAGGGAAAUUUCUGGAAAGCAAUUCAGCUAUGAGCUGAAAGUAGGCUACAGUCCUGACAUAGGCAAAUAGGUGUCCCAUUCUUAAAGGGAGAAUAUGGCCUUCAAACCACAGCAUCCACUAUAGUCCACCCCUUGGGCUGCUCAAAUCCACUUACUCAUAUAAAAAAC
rnacentral:lncRNA from 10 species